rnacentral:rRNA from 1 species
GAACGGCAGCACGGACUUCGGUCUGGUGGCGAGUGGCGAACGGGUGAGUAAUGUAUCGGAACGUGCCUAGUAGCGGGGGAUAACUACGCGAAAGCGUAGCUAAUACCGCAUACGCCCUACGGGGGAAAGCAGGGGAUCGCAAGACCUUGCACUAUUAGAGCGGCCGAUAUCGGAUUAGCUAGUCGGUGAGGUAACGGCUCACCAAGGCGACGAUCCGUAGCUGGUUUGAGAGGACGACCAGCCACACUGGGACUGAGACACGGCCCAGACUCCUACGGGAGGCAGCAGUGGGGAAUUUUGGACAAUGGGGGAAACCCUGAUCCAGCCAUCCCGCGUGUGCGAUGAAGGCCUUCGGGUUGUAAAGCACUUUUGGCAGGAAAGAAACGUCAUGGGCUAAUACCCCGUGAAACUGACGGUACCUGCAGAAUAAGCACCGGCUAACUACGUGCCAGCAGCCGCGGUAAUACGUAGGGUGCAAGCGUUAAUCGGAAUUACUGGGCGUAAAGCGUGCGCA